GUAGGAAUAGAUCGCCUUGUCGUCGGAAAUGCCGGUGCCGGGGGCAUUGGCGAUGGU
rnacentral:sRNA from 1 species